AUUGAACGCUGGCGGCAGGCCUAACACAUGCAAGUCGAGCGAGCGGCGGACGGGUGAGUAAUGUCUGGGAAACUGCCUGAUGGAGGGGGGUAACUUCUGGAAACGGUAGCUUAUACCGCAUUCUAUCAGAUGUGCCCAGAUGGGAUUAGCUAGUAGGUGGGGUAACGGCUCACCUAGGCGACGAUCCCUAGCUGGUCUGAGAGGUUGACCAGCCAGACUGGAACUGAGCAACGGCCCAGACGCCUACGGGAGGCAGCAGUGGGGAAUAUUGCACAAGGGGCGAAAGCCGGAUGCAGCAAUGCCGAGUGUGUGAAGAAGGCCUUCGGGUUGUAAAGCACGUUCAGCGGGGAGGCGUUACCCGAAGAGGAAGCACCGGCUAACUCCGUGCCAGCAGCCGCGGUAAUAC
rnacentral:rRNA from 1 species